rnacentral:lncRNA from 1 species
CCGAGAAGCCAUGGAAAUUCCCACCAAAGUUCAGUGGGUUCUGUUCGUUCUUCGCCUGCCUCACGUAGAAGAAGACGAACACAGGUGCUUGACCCGGUUCUUCAUUCCGAAAACCUUCUUCAAUUUCCCUAAAAUCUUGGAAAUGGAAAAUCCACGUUUCUCCUUAUUCUCCUUCUUCUUCGCAGGCUCUCCAUCUGCCUUGUACGACGCCGCUUCCAGCUCGAGCUUCGGCUGUUCGACGAAAUGCUCCACCGACGCUCCGGUGCUCGAAAACGCUGCGACCAGUUCUGGAUAGAGUCCCCC